AGCAGUCGCCGCGGGAAUACGAAGGGUGCAAGCGUUAAUCGGAAUUACUGGGCGUAAAGCGUGCGUAGGCGGUGAGUUAAGUCUGCUGUGAAAUCCCCGGGCUCAACCUGGGAAUGGCAGUGGAUACUGGCUCGCUAGAGUGUGUCAGAGGAUGGUGGAAUUCCCGGUGUAGCGGUGAAAUGCGUAGAGAUCGGAAGGAACAUCUGUGGCGAAGGCGACUAUCUGGGCCAACACUGACACUGAGGCACGAAAGCUAGGGGAGCAAACAGGAUUAGAUACCCGGGUAGUCCCUGUCUCUUAUAC
rnacentral:rRNA from 1 species